rnacentral:rRNA from 1 species
GAUGAACGCUGGCGGCGUGCUUAAUACAUGCAAGUCGAGCGAACAGACGAGGCGCUUGCUCCUCUGACGUUAGCGGCGGACGGGUGAGUAACACGUGGAUACCCUCCCUGUCAGACUGGGAUAACUUCGGGACACCGGCGCUAAUACCGGAUAAUAUAUUGAACCGUAUGGUUCAAUAGUGAAUGACGGUUUUUCUGUCUCUUAUAGAUGGAUCCGCGCCGGAUUAGCUAGUUGGUAAUGAAACAGCUUACCAAGGCAACGAUGCGUAGCCGACCUGAGAGGGUGAUCGGCCACACUGGAACUGAGACACGGUCCAGACGCCUACGGGAGGCAGCAGUAGGGAAUCGUCCGCAAUGGGCGAAAGCCUGACGGAGCAACGCCGCGUGAGUGAUGAAGGUCUUCGGAUCGUAAAACUCUGUUAUUAGGGAAGAACAAAUGUGUAAGUAACUAUGCACGUCUUGACGGUACCUAAUCAGAAAGCCACGGCUAACUACGUG